GACGAACGCUGGCGGCGUGCCUAACACAUGCAAGUCGAACGAGGUCCAAGGGAGCUUGCUCCCUGAAGACCUAGUGGCGAACGGGUGAGUAACACGUGAGGAACCUGCCCCGAACUCUGGGAUAACUCGAGGAAACUCGAGCUAAUACCGGAUGCCCUCAUCUGAUCGCAUGGUCGGAUGAGGAAAGUUUUUCGGUUCGGGAGGGUCUCGCGGCCUAUCAGCUAGUUGGUGAGGUAACGGCUCACCAAGGCUACGACGGGUAGCUGGUUUGAGAGAACGAUCAGCCACACUGGGACUGAGACACGGCCCAGACUCCUACGGGAGGCAGCAGUGGGGAAUCUUGCGCAAUGGGCGAAAGCCUGACGCAGCAACGCCGCGUGCGGGAUGAAGGCCUUCGGGUUGUAAACCGCUUUCAGCAGGGACGAAAAUGACGGUACCUGCAGAAGAAGCUCCGGCUAACUACGUGCCGGCAGCCGCCGUAACAC
rnacentral:rRNA from 1 species